GCCCGGCAACGGAGUUUGCCUGUGCCUGCAGCAAGUUUCAGCGAAAGAAGUUCCCCUGUCAUUCUCUAAUUCCCCACUUCAAAGCAUCUGCGCUUGCUGUCUUUCUUGUUGGAACAAGGUGCUCCUGGCUCUUUGCAGCUUCUAGACCUCAGCUCAAACACCACCUCUUCCUUCAGAGAAUGUUUCCUGACCUCUGGGUCUAAAGCAGCAAUCUCACUUACUCUUUCAUACCCUUAAUUCAUUUUCUUCAUAUUUAUUAAAAUCUAUAAUUAUCUUUUUAAUCACUUGUCUAAUUGCAUAUUUUAGUAUUUUUCCCAAUAAAUACCAAGGUAUAUGAGAGUAAGAAUCUUUCACUUUUGUCACUAUAAUUAAAGAAUUUAAGGAAAUAUGUCCAGUAAAUAUUUGUUGCAAGAAUACAGAAAGGAUGAACUUAUCUGCUUCUACACAACCAGAACAUCAGACAAAAUGAUCCCUGCUGCCAUUGCUGAAAAAGAGCCUUUGCAUGUGGAGCAAAUGUGAUGUCGUCUCUAAACCUUUGCCCUGUGCCUUUAUGGAAGGCUAUCGCUCACCUACUCAAGCCACCUGCUGUAUCCAUUGCACAGCGAGCAGUGGGGAGAGACAUGAUCAAGUUCCUCUAAGUCUCUAGGGGCUGCCAGAACAACAGACAUAUUUUGUUCAUUAUUAUUUGUUCAAGAAUAGCAAUAGUCUUCUGGGUUCUUGUUUUGUGAGGGUUGCUGGUUCCUGUGAAGCCUCUUUCACCUGUUCCUUCUGAUUUCAGUUUAAAUGCUUGCAUAUCCCACACAUCUCUGGGUGUAUCUUAUGUGCCAGGAGACUUGUGGGAGCUUCCACAAACAUUUCAUCUUGUUUUAAGUAAGAAGAAGUUACUCUCCUUCCCCAUGUUUCAGAAGGUGAAGCUGGAGCUCGGAAUCCAGGUGACUUGCUAGGUGUCACACAGACGUACCAGGGACAGGAACCGGGUCAUCUAGUUUCAAUCCCACUCUUUCCCUUUUAAGAAGUGAGCACAUGGGAAGUGGAACAUGUACAGGAAAAUAUACUACUUCUGGCGGUGGGAAGUGAGCAAAAGUAAAUACAAAGGCAUACUUUAUUAAGUGCAUGAGCAAUCCUUUUUAUUAGAACACAUGGAAAACAAAGAUGAUAAAAGGAUUUUUCACUCCCUGGACGUUAUUGAACUUCAAGCAAAAUGCUGCAUAUCAUCUGGUGACCAGGUACCCCACGUUGUCAUUUCUUUCUUUCUUGCUGUAUUAUAGAUCACCGAGUCUUAUGUAAUUACCCACAAAAUUGCUGGUGUUGCUUCAUGACAGGCAUGACAAAUCCUCAAUAAGGCCUCUUUGGUUGUCUAGAAAAUGAUUAACCUCUUCCUGCAGCUGUUGGAUGUGAUAUUUAAUAUAUGCAACAAAAUACAUAUGCAUGCAACUUCAGCGCAUGCCAUUUAACAGUAUUUUCUUCCUAGGUCAAAGUUUGCCCAGCAUGACCUCACCCACUAACUGCAUUAGUUUAAAAUUUUAGGCCAAAAUAAAAUAGUGAUCUAAAAUCAUGCAGCUUUUAUUCACUGUACAACAUGGAUAUUCAUAAGACCCCUCCAUAAAUGUUUGGUCCAGAUCUUUCUUCCACUGAAUGAAGUUUGACAAUUUGUGACAAGACAGAAAGGAAAUUCAUUAUAUUUAGUAAUAGAAAACCUAUUUCUCAUUUUUCACGAGCCAAGCAGCCUCGAUGAAAUUGCCUAAACCGCUACAUCACACUCCUCCACCUUUGUGGUCUGUGAGGUCGCUCACAAGGGUCUUCAAUUUCCUUAUGUUCACAGCUUGGCAUCUGGUAAUUUUCAGUAUCAGAAAACAUAAGGGGGCUAUAUAUUUUUUCCUCAGAAGAAAUAUUUCUGAUUUGAAAAGAAAUAAAUCUGUCAAGAGGAAAAUAUUAAAAAUAAAAAGUGUGACUGUAAUAAUCACAUCGAUGUCACAGGCAAUUUUGCUCAUUCGGAUUGGGGAAGGAAACUUCCCUGCCCCCCCAAAGGAAUUGUCAAAGUAAGAGAAAUGGAAUUUUUAUUUCAAUAACCACUUUGGUUUAAGGGUAAUUUAUGUAUAAGGAAGCACAACAGCCUCAAGAAUCAAAUUUCCUUAAAAUAUUAUUUUGUAUUCUCUCUGCUACAAGGCUUAGUGAAACUGAUGGAUCAAAGUGAAGAAUUACUAAAUUUGUUUCUCUAAGUUACAGUUUAACAGACACUGUACACCACACACAGCACUGGCAAAAGGGCAGUGUUUUGCAUUUUGCAAAGGGUUAUACCCAGAGAAUAAUAUUUCUUGAAAUUAAAUAAUCCUCAUAAUGUUAAAAUGAAAAAUGGAAGAAAAGCUAGUUUUGUUUGACCGGAUCCAGAAAAGUAGCAAAUCUUCCGCUGCCCACACCCACCUCCCGUCACACACACACACACCCUUGGGCUCAGUCACUGCUGUUUUCAUCAAUAAUAAAUAGCAGUGCUAUAUGGCAUUUAAGUUUUUUUUUUUCUUUUUUUAGUAUGCAUUUCCUCAGAGAAGAUAGAAAGAAUGUUCAGGCAUUUAAAUGAGCAGUUUAAAUUCUUAUUUCUUUCUAGAAUGAUCUCUGGCUAUAGCUAGAACUAGCUGCAUUUAGGAUUGAAAAACAAAGGAAGAAGAAUAUAUAAAACAACUAAAUCACGGCUUCAUAUUUGCUCAGCUCCACACAGAAAAUAUUUAUCACUGUCUCCAUAGCAAUUCUUACUGAUCGCAUCGAUUAACCCAAGGCACACUUGCCGCACGCGGUACUCGGUAGGGAGCCUGCCGUCAAUCUGCGAGUGCGUCUAAGGCUUGUCUUUCUUUUCUUUCCCUUCUUCUCUUCUCUUCUCUUCUCUUCUCUUCUCUUCUCUUCUCUUCUCUUCUCUUCUCUUCUUUCUCUUCUCUCUUCUCUUCUUUCUCCUUCCUUCCUUCCUUCCUUCCUUCCUUCCUUCCUUCCUUCCUUCCUUCCUUCCUUUCUUUCUUUGAUGGAGUGCCAGGCUGUCACCCAGGCUGGAGUGCAAUGGCACCAUCCCG
rnacentral:lncRNA from 1 species